rnacentral:lncRNA from 1 species
GUUAAAUACGUUAGUACGUCUGCAGAGCUGCUCGUUGAUGGACAUGAAUCGCAACUCACCUCUCCCUUUGUUUUUCGAGCGGCGGAUUGGACCAUUGCAUGGACGUUAAGGCUGCCAACUAAACAUAACGUUUACUUUUUGCUCUAUCUUAGGAUCUGUGGUAUCCAUGAGUUUCCCGUCCCCCAACACGUGGUUGAAAUGAAAUAAUCAUCUUAGCUCAGGACUCCAUAGACUAAUAACUGGAAGACUCUGAGGAGGAGAUGGGCCAAUGCACUGAAAGACUAAAGCGCCAGAUGAUAAAAACAUUUCAAUCUCAUUCUGAUUCUCUAACUAAUGAACAUUUUAUUGAUUUCUACAGAUAUGGGAAAACAAUGAAGAAGAAUAUUUUCAUUACUGUCAUUGUAGUUGGCACGGCAGUGGUUUUCAAGCCCCGUUCUUACUUGAGCAAUGCCCAGAUUAAUAGCCUAAACCUGACAAAUUGUCAUCAUAUUCCAGAUUGAUGAAACGGAGAGAAUGAUGAAAAAAUCACCCUUCCAUCCCACAGUGACAGCCUAAUUUGAGCUAGCUCGAGUGCAUGCCGAAGUCAACCUGAUGCAGCCAGCAACGGAAGAAGAACCAAAAUGAUUGAACAAACCUAAACAACAAUUACAUUCGAAGGUCAGACCUUGAAUUUGGUGACGAAACUGCUGCAUCUUCGACGGCGCCGUCACUCCGACUUUUAUGGAAAUUGUUACGGCUUCUGCUGUCGUUGUUUCGACAAUCGCUGUAAUUACAACUGCUGGCACUGGAACGUGCAAUUGAAGGCCUUUCGAUGAGCUAAGGUUUCUGAUUGGAAUGGUGGAGUUCCAGUGGUGAAGCUAGACAAGGAAACAAGAAUGCUUUGAGAGAAUACUUCAAUUAUUAUAAUAUCAAUUCAAUUUAACAAGCUUAAUUGUUGUGCAUUGUAAGUGAGUGAAGUAAAAAGCACAAAGGAAAUUUAUCUGGGAUUAAAGGAGAAGGCUAUAGACAGAAAAGUAGACUCACAUAAUGAAAAAAAUAUUGAAGAAAGAAGACACUAGUGUUUAGAUUUAUUGGGAUAGGUAAUCAUGACACACGGGAGCUAGAUUAAGCUUGUUAUUGUUAUACUAUUUUUCACGUGAGAUCUCUUAAAUCAAGUAAUUAGUCAAAUCGGUAAUGAUACUGUAAUAAAUAAACUUCAUAAAUUGAU